AUUUGGGACUUCAGAAAAUGUUGUGGCUUCCCAACAGAAACAGAAGAGGCAGAUGUAGUGUGAAGAAAAACAAGG